AGUCACUGACAUUAGAUACCCCUGUAGUCCCAGCCGUAAACAAUGUGUGUUAGGUGUGUCGGUAACCACGUGUUACUGAUGCGCCGAAGAGAAAUCGUGAAACGCACCACCUGGGAAGUACGGUCGCAAGGCUGAAACUUAAAGGAAUUGGCGGGGGAGCACCACAACAGGUGGAGCCUGCGGUUUAAUUGGAUUCAACGCCGGACAUCUCACCGGAUAAGACAGCUGAAUGAUUGUCAAUCUGAAGGUUUUACAUGACUAGCUG
rnacentral:rRNA from 1 species